rnacentral:rRNA from 1 species
UCUAGUAAGACACCUUAAAGAAGAUGAGGUUGAUAGGUCGGGAGUGUAAGUGCAGCAAUGUACUCAGCGGACCGAUACUAAUAUGUCGAGGGCUUGACUUA